CGCACCAAAACAGGCAGAAAUCUCCAGCUGUAUUUUCAAACAGCUCUUACACUUAAAGGACAUAUCACACUCUAAAAAUGCUGGGUUGUUUGGAUGACCCAUUUGCUGGGUUGAAGGCAUUUGGUCACUUAGCUGGUUUGUUUUCUUUAAUAGGAGCAACGUUGGGUUGUUGAUACUGGGUUAUUGAGGUUGGGGUUUUGAGAUAUGUUCCAGUGAGUGGGUUAAAUUCUCCCACCAAAACCAGAAGAUAAAGUGAUCCGGCAAGCUUGUGAAUGAGGACUGUUGCAUCUGUAACAAGUCUACUGUUGCAACCGGCACUGAGGGGAAUUACUUUUCUUAUGGACAAAAGGGGCAAGCCGUUGUGGCUGACCGAAAAAAAUGUUACUAAAGGCCCUGAGAGUGCUUCUCCCUCCAUCAGUGUACCCAGUGCAGAUACUACAGAAUACAUGGUCCUAAAAGGGUUUCCCCCAACACCAGUGUAAAAAGUUAGAAAGAAGACUGCCCGCACAAGCACUGAUGAGGCCCGAAACUCAUAUUGCAAUCAUAUUCUCUAAUCUCCCGGUUGGAACCAAUAUGACUGAAUAUCUCCACCAGGCGACCAAAAGAACAAGUGACCCGACACCCUUUGUUCUGAGUCUCGGGGACAAUCGUCUCUAGUCCCUGGCAUUCACCAUCAUGAAUGGGCAGGUUCUGGAGACAUUAUGUGUUGUUGUUGUUUUUACAA